UCAAAGUAACACCCACAUGAAUGCCAUGACCCAAGGUUUCCCAGCAGAACAUCCCCCAGAGCAUCACACUGCCGCUGCUGGCUUGCCUUCUUCCCACAUCGGCAGUGAACAGGGGUCAGCAUGGGUGCUCUGACUGGUCUGUGGAUGUGCAGCCCCAUAAGCCGCCAUGCACUGUCUCUGCUGACACCUUUCUAUCAUAGGUAGCAUUAACUUUUUCAGCUAUUUGUGCUACAGUAGUUCAGCUGUGGGAUCAGAUCCACUGUGGGAAAAGAAUGCAUUUGUGCUGUUAUGAUAAAAAAUUACCAUCACAUUUAACGCAUUAUAGUGGCUUCACCUACCUACGUACCAGUUAUGUCAAUCCUGGUUCAUAACACAUCGCUAGCUAUCAUGCUUCUCAUAUAUCUUCUGCAUGGCAUUUUUUUUACUAUGUUCUGCAACUUGCUCAGCCCAUUUAUUUCUCUUAAACCGAUAAUUAUAGUUGCCUGCUUACUUACUUAUAGUAAUUUUAUGUUGUUGCCAUUUAUUUAUUUGAGGCAUAUACAAAGUCAAACCUGCUGAUUGUCUGCCAGGGAAAAUCCUUUUAUCGUCUUUUGUGAUGUUGCACUUGAACAACUAUUUUACCACUAGCAAGCUGCUACCUUUUUUGUUUGAUAAUGUGUUAAUCUGACCAGCAAUAAAUUGAAUUCCUGGAGUUGAGCAUAGUUGCAGUGUUUUUUCAGCAAAUUAUAAUGUGAUUGAAUAUGUCAUUAAUCAUAGACUCAUAGAAUCAUAGAUUUAUCAUUAUCAUUAUUUAUUAGGGGGACUGGAGGCAGGCAUAAUUCAAGGCGUUUUCCUGGAGAAUUGAGAAAAUCUUUAUUCCAGCAGAGGAAGAUCAUAGGUGUUUUUUGUGGACCCAAAUUUUUGGCUAUGUUUCAGCUAAGCUACCAGUUUCCCAAGUACCUUUGACAAAGCUCUACCCCCAUGUAGAUCAGUGAGUUUUUAUAUCUCAUGUUAUACCAAAUGUUUAUUAGCCCCAGAAAUGGCUCAGGAGCUCAGGAUGAGUGGCGACGCCUCCUGGGCAAGGCUUAGGGGGUACCGGGUCAGGCGAGGCAGCAGCCACAAGCUAGAGACGGUGGGCGGAGCUGCGACUAGCUGCAGGGAACCAGCGGGCUGGCCUGCGGAGAGGUAGUGGGCUUAGCAGCUUCACGCGGCGGAGAGGCAGCAAGCUGAGCAGUCUCAUGCUCGACUAUCUUUAGCACAUCAGCCAGUAAGCGCUGAACUUUCUCCACCUCCUGGGGAUCUACAUCCAUGUUUAGUCUAUCUAACACCUUCCCUGUAUCCUGGAAGAGAGCCUCGGCCUUGGGGAUCCUCCAAACUGUGGGGUUACUCCUGGUAGGUAUCCAGGAGGGAGAAUACAUCCUCCACCUGAAGGCGAAUAAAGUACACCAUGCUCUCUCCGAUCCUCCAGCCCCGCUCAACUGGUUCCACCAUCUCUCAAGGCACAAAGAAGACAUGCAUCUAGACUCUUCUCUGUUUUGGCACCUACAGUAUGUGGUGGAAUGAACUUCCCCUAGAUGUCUGAACAGCUGAGUCAUUGAGUGCCAUCAAAUGACGACUGAAUACCUACUUCCUUUGGAAGUACUUGGAUUAGCACUUCUAGGAUUAUACUUUGAUUAUUAAAAAAUGUAUUUGCCAACAGAGUUUCUUUUUGAGUGAUAGUAUUCUUAGCUGGGUUCUAUUGAACCAGUAUGAAGAGAAAAAAAUGAAAGUUGCAGAGUUGCCAAAUAUCAGGCGUUAGACGUGACACUCGUGCUUUCAGAAUCACAUACUCAUGCAAGAAAUCUUACAGCAAAUCUAUAUAUUCCAUUAUAAACCUAAAAUAAGCUAUAUCAAAAAGCAUUGGGGUAGUUUGUAAAACCUACAGCCUACUUGCAGAGUAAUAAAGCUGUUACCUACAUGUAAUAGUGUGUGCAGUGCAGAUUUCUCUCAAAGUGAAAAUCUCACUCCAGCCAGCUGACCAGAGUUGCCAACCCUGAAGUUACAGUAUGCUGCUUAGAAGGUAUAACUUGGAUAAGAAACUAUUUUUGGUCAGCUUUGAACUUAGAUGUAGACUUUUGUUUGGCUAAAUCAGCAUGAACGCAAUGUAAUUGCUUCAGGUUUCACAUUUGGCCUAUGCAGGGGAGGCCCAGUCACCCCCCUGCUCUACAGUAAAUUGUAAAAUGUUGCAGCGAGAACUGUAAACAGGAUUUUAAAAUAUGGCCAUAUUACAACCAUACUCUCAUCUUUCUGCAGGCUUCCUGUAAGGCGCAGAGCAGACCUCAUUAUUACUUAUAAGGCAUUGAGAAGCCUAGCCCCUGUUUCUCUAAGCAAGCUGAUGAAUGUGCGCAAUCUGGAACAUGCUCUAAUAUCGCACGAUUCAAAACAAUUUGUAUAAAAAGCUGUUUGUGGUAAAGCCAUGAGAUUUAGGGCCCCUACCAUUUGUAAAUCUCGGUGAGCUAUUUUUUGGGUUGACCUCUUGGUCUCAGUGUUGUGGUCUAAACUUAAAUACAUUAAAUAUAGCUGCUGGUGUAUGUUCCGGCAUGAAUAUCUGUCAUAGGUCAUUGUCAGUACUAAUCCUUUAAAUAUGUCAUUCCAUUUCCCCAAGCCUGGAUACCACUGUUCUAGGGCGACACAGUGAGCAAGAACAGCAGAAUCUGAGGAUCUACAGUCUGAGUCUAAAUGCCCUCCACAACAUUUGUACUGACAGAUAUUUGCUUUUCUACUGAAAGUACUUCUGGAGCUUUUGUUUUCCUUAACUACUUCUCUCUUCAGAUUCUGACACUUAUUAUUGUUUAACAUUUAUUGCUAUUAUGUCUGUUUUCAUGUUGCUACAUAUUUGUUAAAUGUUUUUGCUUUUUGGCAAAUCUGUAUCAUAACUGUAUGAAAUCAUUUGAACUGGUAAAGUGCUCCAAGGUUAAAAAUUAGAAGCCUGUCUGCAAUGAAUUUGCCUGUUACUUUAUUUGGUAACACUUCACUCGAUGGGGGCACAGAUAGUAGUAACUCAAUUACUAUAUGAAGUACAAAUCAUGAAAAAUAUAGUAGUUACAUGAGAUUAAAGAUGUGUCGUGAUUCAUUAAUAAAGGACAUGAGAUCAGUA